rnacentral:rRNA from 1 species
UGCAGUCGAGCGAACAGAUAAGGAGCUUGCUCCUUUGACGUUAGCGGCGGACGGGUGAGUAACACGUGGGUAACCUACCUAUAAGACUGGAAUAACUCCGGGAAACCGGGGCUAAUGCCGGAUAACAUUUAGAACCGCAUGGUUCUAAAGUGAAAGAUGGUUUUGCUAUCACUUAUAGAUGGACCCGCGCCGUAUUAGCUAGUUGGUAAGGUAAUGGCUUACCAAGGCAACGAUACGUAGCCGACCUGAGAGGGUGAUCGGCCACACUGGAACUGAGACACGGUCCAGACUCCUACGGGAGGCAGCAGUAGGGAAUCUUCCGCAAUGGGCGAAAGCCUGACGGAGCAACGCCGCGUGAGUGAUGAAGGGUUUCGGCUCGUAAAACUCUGUUAUUAGGGAAGAACAAACGUGUAAGUAACUGUGCACGUCUUGACGGUACCUAAUCAGAAAGCCACGGCUAACUACGUGCCAGCAGCCGCGGUAAUACGUAGGUGGCAAGCGUUAUCCGGAAUUAUUGGGCGUAAAGCGCGCGUAGGCGGUUUCUUAAGUCUGAUGUGAAAGCCCACGGCUCAACCGUGGAGGGUCAUUGGAAACUGGGAGACUUGAGUGCAGAAGAGGAAAGUGGAAUUCCAUGUGUAGCGGUGAAAUGCGCAGAGAUAUGGAGGAACACCAGUGGCGAAGGCGACUUUCUGGUCUGUAACUGACGCUGAUGUGCGAAAGCGUGGGGAUCAAACAGGAUUAGAUACCCUGGUAGUCCACGCCGUAAACGAUGAGUGCUAAGUGUUAGGGGGUUUCCGCCCCUUAGUGCUGCAGCUAACGCAUUAAGCACUCCGCCUGGGGAGUACGACCGCAAGGUUGAAACUCAAAGGAAUUGACGGGGACCCGCACAAGCGGUGGAGCAUGUGGUUAAUUCGAAGCAACGCGAAGACCUUACCAAUCUUGACUCCUUUGACACUCUAAAGAUAGAGUUUCCCCUUCGGGGGACAAAGUGACAGGGGGUGGCUGGUUG